rnacentral:lncRNA from 1 species
GUAUCUGGUCUAGCAUAGUGGUUAUGUGUCCGGAAUUGGUGGGUUCUUGGUCUCACUGACUUCAAGAAUGAAGCCGCGGACCCUCCCAGUGAGUGUUACAGCUCUUAAGGUGGCGCGUCUGGAGUUUGUUCCUUCUGAUGUUCGGAUGUGUUUGGAGUUUCUUCCUUCUGGUGGGUUCGUGGUCUCCCUGGCUCAGGAGUGAAGCUGCAGACCUUUGCCGGGUUACAGCUCUUAAGGCGGCGCCUCUGGAGUUGUUCGUUCCUCCUGGUGGGCUCGUGGUCUCGCUGGCUCAGGAGUGAAGCUGCAGGCCUUCCCGGUGCUGAUAAUGUAUUGGAAUCUGAUGCCGGCAAGACAGGUUCCAUAACCCAGUGUGAUCAGAGGAUAUUUGGAUAUUGAAGGAACAGGAAAUAAAGCAGAGUCAUUACUGAGUCUGCUUACCUGAUGAAAAAUUUUACACCACUGCCACAAA